UAUGUGAGACUCUCAGAUAUUGUUGCAGGCACAGAGGGUACCCGAGGCAAGCAACAAUGGUCCAUACCUGGAGUGCUUAGCGCCAAUAAACACACCAGGGUGGAGAAGCAAGCAAAGUUUAUUUGAGAUCUCA